rfam:Sharpea azabuensis strain DSM 20406 genome assembly, contig: Ga0059086_1029
CAAGAAUUCAGUCUUUGUCAGGAUGACUACAGGCAGUUAAUGCCAGGCUAGCGAUUGCUUGUGUGUACGCACAAAAGCUUGAUUAGGCUUAAUGUUGAAUAAGGUUGCUAGUCAAACCGAAGUUAGAAAUGUAUACGUAAAAAAGACAGUAAGUCAAGAGGCAGCGAGGGAAAAAGAAUGAGUG